rnacentral:miRNA from 1 species
UUUGGAUUUUGGUCAUUGUUG